AAAAAGAGAACUAUUUAAAACAUUCCCCCCACCCCCCAUGCAUAUAAAGCUAGGAUUAAGGUAAUAAUAGCCUGAUGGUAACACAUGUGUAUGAUAUCUAGGCAGGUUUGCCUGAAAAAAGUGUAUUUUAGCAGGUGCCCAAAAGAGGGCAGCCUGAUGUCAAUAGGCAGGGAGUUCCAAAGUGCGUGUGCUGUUGGAUUUCUUACCAAGACGUGGAUGUUGUGUGGCACCCGUAACUGCCAUUUUCUACCAUAAAAAUAAUAGCCAUGAUUAAAGGCACGGCUGCUGGAUCAGACCAGGACAGGAGUGAGGCAAACACGAAGGAUAUAAAAUAAAAUAAUAGAGUGAGCAGAAGGAAAACCAGGCUGAUUCCCCCUAAUAGCUUGCAGAAAAAUCAAAUGAUUGAGCAAAGCAGGGAACCAAGAGCUUGCCCAAAGCGUAAAAAGGAAAAGAAGGAAGUUAAACCGGGCAAUCACUAAACAACAGGAAAUUCCUGAUAAAGUUCAUUUUAGAAGGGGAGCAACCGCAGCAGAAACCACAAGCUCUGUAGGAAAUGGGGUAUUUCCUACAGAUAGAUAUAUAUAUAUAUAUAUAUAUAGUAUUGCAUAUUUAUACACUUCAGAGAGAGAAGUAGAAAAUCUGAUUCAAGCAAAGAAUCAUGUCAGGGGAAUGAGCAAAAUGGAAAACAACCCAGAGGAAAAUGAAGCCCAUUUGUGAUGGAUUUUAAAAUUAAUUCCGGUGUCCUUUCAAAGCAGGGCUGCCUGAUCCUACUGAGCCCAGGGGCCACAUUCACCCAUGACUAAACCAUCCGGAGGCCACGUGGCAGAGUAUGGCCACCCAUUAAGUUGUCAAUGUAAUGAGCAGGGACGAAGGGAGGGAUUUGUAUUUCUGUCAUGGCGCUGGGCUGGGCAGGGAGGUUUAACCUUUUUUUGCACAUCCCACCACUGUGUCAAUAUGUUAUAUACUCUCUCUGUCACCACUAACAAAAUUGGGGGAUCUCAGAUGGGUAGGAAUUUGCUAAGGAACGGGUUCAAAUCAUGUCCCUGGCAUGGAGGUCCUCCAGCCAUUUUUCUUUUCUUUUCAGGGGCCUUUCCUGGAAUGGCAGAACUGCUAACACUUGAACGACGAACCCAUUUUAUAGCUUGCAAGACCAGCCACAUUUUACUGCCCCAACUGACUGCACUGCAUCCCAGCAGCCUUUGUGAGCCUACAGGUAAAAAAAAAAAAAAUUGGGGGUGGGACACACCUCCCACAUUAUUUUGCUGUCUUCCCGUUAAAAAGCAUGUUGCCCUGAGCAACGGGCAAUCCACUUUUAAUUGUUUGUUUUGUUUAUUUGUUUCAUUAAAAAAUUAUAGACUCCUUGGCUGCUAAGGAAAAAACUCAAAGUGGUUUACAAAAAGUUAAAACCUUGAAAGCCGAAUUUUAAAAUACACUGAAAGUCAAAAGAGAAUAGACUAGCCAGGCAUGUCCAAAGUCCGUUUCGGGGGCCUAAUCCAGCCCACUGGUCGGUUUAAUCUGGCCUCUGUGGCAGUUUAUUUCCUGGGGUAAAAUCCUAAAGAACCCUUAACAACUUCAAUCCUAAAAGAAGCUCAACAACUUUGGUCAGCCUUCACACAUGUUCACUUCAUCAAAUCUGGCCCUCUUUGAAAAAAGUUUGGGCACCCCAAUCUAUGGCCUUUAAAUUGUGAGUGUGGGAAGGGGGGCUAUUGAUUUUGAGGUAAAAUCCUAAAAAAAGUUCAACAACUUCAAAAGGUCAACAACUGUGGUUGGCCCCCAUGGCCCUUCACUUCAUCAAAUCCGGCCCUCUUUGAAAAAAGUUUGGACACCUCAAAGUAAAACUCAUGCAAGCUUUCUACACAACUGGGUAAAGCUAAAGGGACCCCUGACCAUUAGGUUCAGUCGUGGCCGACUCUGGGGUUGCGGCGCUCAUCUCGCUUUAUUGGCCGAGGGAGCCGGCAUACAGCUUCUGGGUCAUGUGGCUAGCAGGACUAAGCCGCUUCUGGCAAACCAGAGCAGCGCAUGGAAACACCGUUUACCUUCCCGCCAGAGUGGUACCUAUCUAUCUACUUGCACUUUGAGGUGCUUUUGAACUGCUAGGUUGGCAGGAGCAGGGACUGAACAAUGGGCACUCACCCCGUUGCGGGGAUUCGAACCGCCGACCUUCUGAUCGGCAAGCCCUAGGCUCUGUGGUUUAACCCACAGCGCCACCCACACAACUGGGUAGACUUGUCUAAAUUAAGAAUGUAUUCAGGCGUCGAAAAGAACAGUGAGGGUGCCUAUCUGAUAUCAAUAGGAAGGGAGUUCCAAAGUGUUGGUGCUGCUACACUAAAGUUCUUACAGAUGUGGUGGGGGCAUUAUGUGAAACUUGUAAAAGUGCCAAUUUUGCCCAGGCUUGCAUCAUGCAGAGGUCUCUUCGGUGCUGCUAGCACAGCAGUUUGACUUCACACCUGGAGGUGCUCUCCAUUGUCUCUUGAGACAGACAGAUGCCAACAACAACAACAACAAAACCUCUAAACUUUAUUAGCACGAUGCACAUGUUAAAAAACCAAUAAAAUACCUACCUGUGUGACUGCAAUGUAAAAGGCAUGACCACAAAUGUGAUGGGAAAGUAUGGGGAGGGAAGAGGAAGGUAGCAAAGUCAGGUACUGGUUCUUACAAGUUGCAAAGUUCUUAAUUUCCACAGGAGGAGCUGUGUGACUCUUUUCCAGCCAAAACAACAAACGGUUUUGCAGAAUCUUAAAAGACUGGUACACAUUUCUUAUGGCAUAAGGUGUUUUUUUUUUGGACCAGAGUCCACUUCAUCAGGUUCAUCCUGAGUCAUAGGUAUAUAAACCAUAUGGUUUUGCUGCAGGGUGGGGGUUGUAAAAAGUGAGGUCAGAGGAAAAAGAAAUGUGGGGAGACUGCAGGCAGUGAUAAUCUCAUACUUAGCAGUGGUAAUUCACAAAACAGUUCUUGAUCCUUGCACCGACAAGCCAAUUACCACAAAGAGUGUGCUAAAAAUCCUUUGACUUGGAUAGCCCUGAAACACUUCAUCUACCCAGCGCUUUCACAGAGCUUCAGUCUCCCUCUGAAGUUGUUUUGCUGCAGGACGGCUAUUUGACGGUCAUUUAUCCAGUGUCCUGGCAGGUUGAAAUGUUCCCCCAUUGGCUUUUGGAUGUCGUCAUUUCUGGUGGCGGAGUGUGUGUGUGUCUGCUUCUUAUUUUGUGUGGAGACUGGCCUGUUUCUGCUAUGCAGAAGGGCAUUGCUGAGGGAUGAUAGGAAUCACCCCGGAAAGAUGAGCAGGUGAAUUAAGCCCUCAUGCUGUGGAUGGCAUUCCUAGGGCCUCCGACAUGAAGAUGUGGAGAUGGCAUCUGGGCCUGAUUCAGGGGCUGCCCCCUGGAUCUGGAUCUCCCCUUGGGGAGGGGGCUGCCUGUGAGCCAAUACGGGCCUCCCACCCAAGGACCCAUUUGAAUGCAAUCAAUUCAGGAAGAGGUGGAGCCAAACCCUGAGAAGUGUAGUUUGUUAAGGAUGCUGGGAACUAUAGCUCUGUGUGGGGUAAACUACAUUUCCCAGGAUUCUUUGGGGGAAAGCCUUGCACUUCCAAUAGAACGAUAGAAUUGCAGGGUUAGAAGGGACCCAAGGGGUCAUCUGAUCCAAACCCCUGCAAUGCAGGAAUCAUAGCUAAAUCUUCUUCUUCUUUGGCGAUCACUUGUAGCCGAGUAAGAUUGUCUUCCAUGAACACGGUCAUAUCAGCAAGGCCGUAAGUGACUGUGGAGGCCAAUUCUAGAUCCACAGGUGUGGUGUGGAUGUGACCUUAGUGCCUCAGAUUAGCUUGGUUGUCCCAUAUCUCUCCCCAUCUCUGCUCCUGGCAGGUGGCUCUUUCCUCUAGCCUUUGAUAGUUGAUAUGUUCUGUUUUGCGGGACCCACCUUGUUCUUUGGAUUUAUGCUGUUCUGUUCCAUUCAGAGCGGGUUUGUUUGUUUUAUAAUUACAAUAGCUUUAUCUAUUUUUCAGUCUGUAUGCUGUAAUGUUGUUAACUGCUCUUACUGUGAAGGGUGGGUAAGAAAUGUUAUAAAUAAAUAAAUAACUUGUGAGUGCAUCUGCCAGGAAUUAAGCAUGCUCAGAUAUUGUUAAGCUGAUGAACUGUGCACCUUCCCUGGCUGAGCGGCUCUUAGGUCUGGGCUAUGAAGUUUUAUUACUAUAAAAAUAAGUGAACAACUGUGAGAGGUGAGAGAUUCUUUGAAUGCCAUCAGGGGGUGGUUACUUGUGUUUCCCCACCCUCAAUUCCCUAAGAGCCUUAAUAAGAGAGUUGCUUAAUGGAUAUUUGCAGCUUGACCUAUUGGUAAGCUGUAUGCAUAUUUAAUAUACAUAUUUAUAACAUACAUACUUACACAGGAAAAGCCAGCUGCACAAAGAUGGGGGACACCUGGCUUGCCAGUAGUCCAUGUGAAAAGGAUCUAGGGGUCAGUAGACCACAAGCUUAACAUGAGUCGACAGUGUGAUGCAGUGGGGGUAGCUAAUUCUAUUAGACUGAAUCAACAGAAGUCAAGUGUCCAGAUCAAGGGAAGGAAUAGUUCUGCUCUAUUCUGCCUUGGUCAGACCACACCUGGAGUCCUGUGUCCAGUUCUGGGCGCCACAAUUUAAGAAGGGUGUUGCUAAGUUGGAACGGGUGCAGAGGAGGGCGACCAAGGGUCUGGAAACCAAGCCUUAGGAGGAACAGUUGAAGGAGUUGGGGAUGUUUAGCCUGGAAAAGAGACUGAGAGGAGAUAUGAUAGCCAAAUAUCUCAAGAGCUGUCACAUGGAAGAUGGAGCAAGCUUGUUUUCUCCUACUCCAGAAGGGAGGACCCGAACCAAUGGCUUCGAGUUACAAAAAGGGAGAUUCUGACUAAACAUCAUGAAGAACUUUCUGACAGCAAGAGCUGUUCUGCGGUGGAAUGGACUCCCUCAGGAAGUUGAGGACUCUCCAACCUUGGAGAGCUUUAAAAGAGGAUUAGACAGAUUCAUGGAGGAGGAGAGAGCUAUUGAUGGCUGCUAGCUGCAAGAGCUAUUGCUCUGUCUGUAUAGUCAGAGGCAGGGAUGCUUCCAAGUACAGUACCAGUUGCUGGAAACCACAGGAGGGAAGAAAGUGCUCAUGUACUUGAAUCCUGCUUGCAGCUUUUGAACCACUGUGAGGAUAUCGGCCACUGACCAGCAGACUCUUCUCAUGUUCUUAAAUGAACCGUUAAUUGUUGGUUAUUAAUUUUCUUAGUGCUACAUUGCUGCGAUACCUGCUUUAUUGUGUUCUGACUACAGUAUUACUACUGUAGUUACUGUAGUUAGACUUGUGAUUUUUGUGUGAGCCACUUUGAGCACAUAUUUGCUUGUGGCCAAUGUGGUUUGUAAAUAACUAGACAAUGAUUUUUAAAGCCAGUCUUGUGAAUUUGGGAAAGGGGGUGUGCACUGGGGCGGGGACAUGGAAUGGGUUUGAAUUCAGAUUGCUAUUCUUUUUUCUGACCAGUGGGCAGCCCCGUGUUUGUAUGAGAAUGAGCUUGUGGGGUUUAUAUUUUGUUGUUGUUUCCUCCUUCAUUAAAAAUGCAGCUUGUUGUCAGGAGCCAGGCUGUUUGCAGCUUUCUCAUAACCAAAAGGAAGUAGGCGGCAGUGAGGAACUGUUUAGCUCUUCACACUUUGCUGCUGCGAAUAAAUUUCCCAGCCCCUAAACCUCCUGGAGGAAUUCACAGCAGUGGCGGCAGCAGCGAAGACACCUCCAGGCUGCCCAUGCAGAACCUGACACCACCUGGGCACAUGCUGGUCAUGUUUUACCCCAGACCUAUUUCCCCAGAAGUUGCUUCUCUUAAGUUUUCUUGUCCACUUUGUCGCUGUGGAAAUUUCAGCUUCACAGUCUUUCUGCAGAAAAGGCUUCAUAACUUUUAGUGCAGUCAGAAAUCGAGCCAUCGUGGGGGCAGGUGAGCAGAGUGUUUGCGAGGUGCAGAGUCAGGGUUCAGGUGACGCCAUUGGGCUACAACGAAUGGGGCAGGGGUAGUUCAACUGAAACAGCUUAAAAUAGCACAUAUUUCCCCAGCUUUCCAUUAAAAAUAAAAAGAGGCGGACCCCUAACAGAUAGUUCAGUCUAGUUCUGUAUCUGCCCCCCAGGUGUUUACCCCUGUGAGGAUUAAUGUGUAGCAACUCACAUUCAGAUCCAACAUGCCCUGGUGUCCCUGUUGGGCAGAGUAAGGUAGUUGCCCCAGGCAGAUGACUUUGGGUGUCAUGAAAGGGAAGCAGGCUGCCAGUUGUUUUAAUUCAUUGCUAGGAGUGCUUUUACUCCCAGGGAGAGAUGUUGGUGGGACUUUCAGCCUCAGGUGGACAAAGGUAGCCAGCCUUGGGAACUGCAUUCUGUGCCACCAUCAGUGCUUUUCUUAUAGGAAAAAAAGGUGCCAAUACAGUGGUACCUCGGGUUAAUUACUUAAUUCGUUCCGAAGGUCCAUUCUUAACCUGAAACUGUUCUUAACCUGAAGCACCACUUUAGCUAAUGGGGCCUCCCGCUGCUGCUGCUGCGCUGCCGGAGCACAAUUUCUGUUCUCAUCCUGAAGCAAAGUUCUUAACCGGAGACACUAUUUCUGGGUUAGUGGAGUCUGUAACCUGAAGCGUAUGUAACCUGAGGUACCACUGUACUCCCCGUGAAGUUGUUACAGUAACUGCCACACUUGUAACCAGAGUGUUUCUACUGGGGGGAAAAGGUGCCUGUACUGCGUCCCCUUGAGUGCCCCCAGAAAGACUGGAAAAGCACUUGCCGCCAUCCAGCCAGCACUGGCUCCUGAAGACACUGUUGGAUGAGGCAAGCAUGCCCCUGAAACUUGUGGCUUUAUUGCUUUUUAGAAGACCUGUUUUAAUUGCUAUGCUUUUUAGCUCUUUGCUUUAUUGUCUGUUUUAAUUAAGGCUGCUUGAAUGUUAAUGCGUGUUUUUAAUUAUGGUUGUAUGCCACUUAGAAGCUGUUCUGGCACACGAGCAGUACAGUGGUGCCUUGGUUCUCAAACAUCUUGGUACUCAAACAACUUGGAACCCAAACACUGCAAACCCAGAAGUAAGUUUUCUGAUUUGCGAACCUUUUUCGGAAGUUGAACAUGCUCUGUUUUGAGUGCUACACUUCCGAUUUAAGUGCCACACUUCCGUUUGGAGUGUUUCGCUGAGGUGAGGUCUGUCUGUUUUUGCUAUUUAUUUUGUGUUUUUGUGGCUCUUUUUUUUUUUUUUUGAGACUGUGUGGAACCCAGUUCAGCUACUGAUUGAUUGAUUGUGUGACUGCAGUACAUUGUUUCUUGCUUUAAUUUUAUGGAUCAAUGGUCUCGUUAGAUAGUAAAAUUCAUGUCAUGUUUUAGCGGUUGUUUUUAAAAGUCUGGAACGGAUUAAUCCAUUUUGCAUUACUUUCUAUGGGAAAGCACACCUUGGUUUUGGAACACUUUGCUUUUGGAACAGACUUCCAGAACGGAUUAAGUUUCAGAACCAAGGUACCACUUAUAUAAAUUAAUUAAUUAUAAAUGCACCAUGUCGUGGUAUGGUGGUGGCCAGGAUGUGGUGGUAGAGCAGGGAGAGACAGACACCAUUUGCUGUUCAGCCUCAGGAGCUGAAAUUUCUCAGGCAAGCCCUGUCAUUUCCCACGUCCCCUCCUCUUUUUCACUGUGCUGAUUUUUAACUGGCAAGCUUUUGAAAAUAUUUAAAAAUGAAUGAAUAAACAAACAAACAAACAACAACAACUCACCCCCAUGCUGCAUGCUUUGCAAAGACUAAACUCUUCCUGAUUUAUUAAUGCAGCACGUGCAGAUGAGGGUGGGUGGGCAGGCAGCGCCUCUGUGUAGCUGCUCUGGGGUGAGGCUGGGGGAAGCGGCUGCGUGUGUGGAUGUGACUCAGAGAGCUCCUUGAUGUGAGGCGUUGAUGUGCGGGCAUCAAGCACUCCUGUUGAGUGAAAUCUCCCACUCCCUUAUCUUCGCCUUUGCCUUCCCCGCCCUGCUUUUUGAUAUUCGUCAGGAGGCUGCCUGUGGAGGAAGGAGUCAUGCCAACCUCAGCGCCGCCACGCAGUGUUCUUGUGAUUAGAGGCAACAAAUUGUUCUGUGCAUGCUCCAUGUGAGAAAACACUCCUCAUAGUGAGCAACCUGCCUUGGCAGGUCGGAUGGCCAGCAGCUGACACAACCUCAGGUGUUCUGAGACUGGACCGUCUCUCCCUUGGGAUGGGGUGUGCUAGUCAUUUGGGUGGGAGGGGUUCCUGCAAGUAGUGGAGCCAGAAAGGUCCUUUGUUGUUUAGUCAUUUAGUCGUGUCCGACUCUUUGUGACCCCCUGGAUCAGAGCACGCCAGGCACUCCAGUCUUCCACUGCCUCCCGCAGUUUGGUCAAACUCAUGUUGGUAGCUUUGAGAACACUGUCCCACCAUCUCGUCCUCUGUCGUCCCCUUCUCCUUGGGCCCUCCAUCUUUCCCAACAUCAGGGUCUUUUCCAGGGAGUCUUCUCAUGAGGUGGCCAAAGUCUUGGAGCCUCGGCUUCAGGAUCUGUCCUUCCAGUGAGCACUCAGGGCUGAUUUCCUUCAGAACGGAGAGGUUUGAUCUUCUUGCAGUCCAUGGGACUCUCAAGAGUCUCCUCCAGCACCACAAUUCAAAAGCAUCCAUUCUUUGGCACACAGACUACUGUUGGAGGUAGUAAAUGCCUCCACAUUCCAGCUGCUGGGAGUCGCUAGUGGGGAGAUCACUGCUGUUAUCCUCAGUUCAUUCUUCCAACAGACACUGUGAGCAUAGGAUGCUGGACUAGAUGGGCCACCUUUGGCUCCAUCCAGCAGCCAGGCUCUUCUUGGUUUUAUGCUUACCAUCACAGCCUUCAGACCUGCUCUAACCGUGACACAUCAGUCAUAGCUGGGGGGGGGGGGCGGAAUGUGCCAAGCAGAACUGAUUCAUGGACGCAUGGUGCCUUUUGCAUUAGUUUAACUUUGUAAAUAAAGGGGCCAUGGUUCAGAGAUGACUGGUUUCCUGCAGUUGCUGAAAAGGUGUGUUGCUGUCAUUGACUGAGUACAGUGCUAGCAGCAAGCUCUAGAGCCAGAGGUUCCAGCAGAGUAAAGAGGGGGAUGACAGGGGGAAAGAGGAAUUAGGGUGAGAUCAUCUUCUGAGGCCCUCCUUCGUGUGCCUCCUCCUUGAGAGGUCCGGAGGGUGGCAAUACGAGAACGGGUCUUCUCUGCAACGACUCCCUAUCUGGAAUGCUCUCCCCAGGGAAGUUCACUUGGCGCUUUCAUUUUACACCUUUAGGCGCCAAGCAAAAACAUUCCUUUUUAACCAGGCCGUUGGCUGAUUUGAUUGACAUCCUAUGCCCUUUUAAAAUGUGGUGUUUUUUGGGGGGGCAUUAUUGGGUUGUUGUUUUUAUUUUGAUUAUAUAUUUUGUGAUUUUAUAUUUUGAUUUUGUUCUGUAAACCGCCCUGAGGCCUUUAGGUAUAGAGCAGUAUAUAAAUUCAAUCAAUCAAUCAAUAGGAAAAAUUGCUUGGAUGAAAUUCCCUGACCACGGAAUCAUAGAGUUGGAAGGGAAACACCCCCCUCCCCCAAGGCUCAACUAGUUCUACCUCUGCAGUGCCGGAAUCAUAGCUAAAGAAUCCCUGACAUUUGGCCAUCCAAGCUCUGUUUAAAAACCUCCACCAAAGGAGAGCCCAGAACCUUCCAAAGGAGUCCGUUCCACAGUCAACUAGCUUUUACCACCAGAAACUUCUCCCUGAUGUUCAGUCGGAAUCUCAUUUCUUGUCAUUUCAGUCUGUUGGUUCAGGUCCUACCCUCUGGAGCAGCAGAAAACAAGGUUGCUCCAUCUUCCAUGUGACAGGCCUUUGAAAACAUUUGAAUAUGGCUAUUCGAAUCCCCGUGACAGGGUGAGCUCCCGAUGCUCAGUCCCAGCUCCUGCCCACCUAGCAGUUCAAAAGCACCUCAAAGUGCAAGUAGAUAAAUAGGUACUGCUCCGGCGGGAAGGUAAGCGGUGGUUCCGUGCGCUGCUCUGGUUCGCCAGAAGCUGCUUAGUCAUGCUGGCCACAUGACCCGGAAGCUGUACGCCGUCUCCCUCGGCCAAUAAAGCGAGAUGAGCGCUGCAACCCCAGAGUCGGCCACGACUAAAUCUAAUGGCCAGGGGUCCCUUUACCUUUUUAUCAUAUCUGUCUGCUCUUCUCCAGGCUAAACAUACCCCAUAUCCAAGCUACGGAGGGAUAGGGAAUAUGUAUAUAGGACCAUCCAGCCACAGCUAAUGUUAGUAUGUUGCCUCACUGCCCCAGGCCUUGUAGAAAGCUGCAUACCUCUCUAUAUUCAUGACAUUUACAUACUGCCUCUUUUCAGCCAGUUCCCUCCAAUACAUUCUGCUGAGUGUGAAGAGUCUACACCUGGCUAUGGGUGGGUGGAGGUUUGUAAUUCUGGAAGGGAUCUCCCCCCAAGUUCAAAUAUUUGAGACACCCUUGCUGCAAAGAGUCUAGGUCCAGGCAAUGCCUAUCAUAAGCUGUCCUCAACAAAACGCUUCUUGUGUUUAGACCAAGCAGUGGCUCAUCUCUGUUUCGUACUUCAGUAUGCAUGACUGACCAAGACAUGCUCUGUCUAUGAAUCAUAGAAUCAUACAGUAAUGGAGUGGGAUUUUUUAAAGAGGCCGUCUAGUCUAGCCCCAUGCUCAGUACACCACCUGCAGCCACAGCAACUAUCCUUGACUGAUGGCUGUCCAACCAAUGCCUCCGACAAAGAAGAGCCCAACUUUCUGUUUCAUUGCUGAACAGUUCUGGCCAUUGUAGGUCAGUUAUUCCUAACAUUCGGCCAACGUUUGCUCCCUCGCAGUUCCCACCCUUAUGUUCUAGUCUGCUCUGUCUCCAUCUGACCCACCAGACUUUCAGUUAUUGUUGUUGUUUAGAUGUUUAGUCGUGUCUGCCUCUUUGUGACCCCCUGGACCAGAGCACGCCAGGCACUCCUGUCUUCCACUGCCUCCCGCAGUUUGGUCAAACUCAUGCUGGUCGCUUCGAGAACACUGUCCCACCAUCUCGUCCUCCGUCGUCCCCUUCUCCUUGUGCCCUCCAUCUUUCCCAGCAUCAGGGUCUUUUCCAGGGAGUCUUCUCUUCUCAUGAGGUGGCCAAAGUACUGGAGCCUCAGCUUCAGGAUCUGUCCUUCCAGUGAGCACUCAGGGCGGAUUUUCUUUGAUCUUCUUGCAGUCCAUGGGACUCUCAAGAGUCUCCUCCAGCACCAGAAUUCAAAAGCAUCCAUUCUUUGGCGAUCAGCCUUCUUUCAGUUAUUAGAAGACCACUAUCGUGUCCCCUCUUAAUGGUUUAAGGCUUAACCUCCUCUUCUCAACUCCCUAGGACUGUGGCACAACCCUCCAGGUGUGAUGUGACCAGCCUUGAAUAGGUUGGAACUAUUAACUAUUUAAGAAAGGACGAGGAAGAAAAAUGCUUCCUUCUCUCCCUGCGACUUCCCCCCCUCCCUUUCUGGUUCCUAGUGAGAUCUUAACACCAGCAGCAUUUCAUCCAGGGCUGUCUUUGUCUUCCUCCCCUCCUCCCCUUUCUCCCCCCACCUUCGAGGAAGAGCUUUCCACGUUCCAUGCUGAGCAGGCAAAUAUGAAAAUGAGCAGCCAGUUAUUAACAUUGUCAGGGGAUAGGAGAGAUCAGCAUCUCAUUCUGCUUGGCUGUGAAUCUAGGCAGACUAGACCCAGAAACCCUUUCCCAGGGCCUGGGUCUUAAGUCUUGGCGCAUGUGAAAUAAGACCAAGAGUGUCUCUGAGCUUGUUCUUAGCAUGUUUCCCACAUCACCAAGCAACCGCAGCCUGUCUCCUCACAUCUUGGAUUUAUUGGACAGGGUUUGCACAGCCAAACAGGGCAGAUUCCAGGACAGCUCAAAUGUCCCAGCAGCACCCCUCCACCCCCCUUUUUAGAAAUUAAACUCAUCAAGUACCUUGUUCUACCUGGAAGAGUAAAGGUGGUCUCUUGGCACUAGGAGAAAGGGGCUGUGGGCUCUUUUGGCGGCUUUCACAAGAUGAACUAAUGGUCAACAGAGUUUGAGUGAUGGCCACCAACAUGGAUUGCUUUAAAAGAGGAUUAGACAAAUUAAUGGAGGAGAAUAAGGCCAUCGAUGGCUACUAGCCACAGUGGCUAGGUCCUUGGAGGUAGUAUCGCCUCUGAAGGUCAGUUGCUGGCAGUCGCAAGAAGGGAGAGUGCUUUCAUACUCAGGUCCUGCUUACGGGCUUCCCUUUGGGGCACCUGGCUGACCACUGCGAGGAGAGUAGGCUGGACUAGAUGCCCCCCCCUUUGGCCAGACCAAGCAGGUCCAUUCUUAUGUCUGCAUGAGGGCGUAUCUAUACCUCAGACCUGAGCCAUGACUGUUAAAGAGGAACAAUCUUAUAGUCUACUUAGCGUUGAUACAACUAAUAUGAACCGGCAGCUUCCUAGUAUGAACCACACCUAACAAAAAUCAGGUUUGGGGGCUUUUACAGAGAGCUCGGAGGUUUAGGGUUAACUUCUAGAAAAGCAUGCCACAGGCUUGAUGUCCUUUCCCUUGCAAUUGCCUUGGUGUCCAACUACCAUCGACCAUAACAUCCUUCUGGACCGUGUUGAGGGGCUGGGAGCUGGGGGCACUGUCAUACAGUGGUUCCGCUCCUUCCUCCUGGGCCGUGUUCAGAAAGUGGUGGUGGGGGAUGAGUGUUCAGACCCCUGGGCUGUCACUUGUGAGGUGCCUCAGGGUUCUGUCCUCUCCCCCAUGCUUUUCAACAUUUACAUGCAGCCGCUGGGAGAGAUCAUCAGGAGGUUUGGGCUGGGUGUUCAUCAGUAUGCGGAUGAUACCCAGCUCUACCUCUCUUUCAAAUCAGAACCAGUGAAGGCGGUGAAGGUCCUGUGUGAGUGUCUGGAGGCGGUUGGAGGAUGGAUGGCGGCUAACAGAUUGAGGUUGAAUCCUGACAAGACAGAAGUACUGUUUUUGGGGACAGGAGGCGGGCAGGUGUGGAGGAUUCCCUGGUCCUGAAUGGGGUAACUGUGCCCCUGAAGGACCAGGUGCGCAGCCUGGGAGUCAUUUUGGACUCACAGCUGUCCAUGGAGGCACAGGUCAAAUCUGUGUCCAGGGCAGCUGUUUACCAGCUCCAUCUGGUACGUAGGCUGAGACCCUAUCUGCCUGCGGACUGUCUCGCCAGAGUGGUGCAUGCUCUGGUUAUCUCCCGCCUGGACUACUGCAAUGCACUCUACGUGGGGCUACCUUUGAAGGUGACUCGGAAACUACAACUAAUCCAGAAUGCGGCAGCUAGACUGGAGACUGGGGGCGGCCGCCGAGACCAUAUAACACCGGUCUUGAAAGACCUACAUUGGCUCCCAGUACGUUUCCGAGCACAAUUCAAAGUGUUGGUGCUUACCUUUCAAGCCCUAAACGGCCUCGGUCCAGUAUAUCUGAAGGAGCGUCUCCACCCCCAUCGUUCUGCCCGGACGCUGAGGUCCAACGCCGAGGGCCUUCUGGCGGUUCCCUCAUUGCGAGAAGCAAAGCUACAGGGAACCAGGCAGAGGGCCUUCUCGGUAGUGGCGCCCGCCCUGUGGAAUGCCCUUCCAGCAGAUGUCAAAGCGAUAAACAACUACCUGACAUUCAGAAGACAUCUUAAGGCAGGGAAAACAUCAGGGAAGUUUUUAAAGUGUGAUAUUUUACUGUAUUUUUGGUUUCUAUGAAAGCCGCCCAGAGUGGCUGGGGAGGCCCAGCCAGAUGGGCAGGGUAUAAAUAAUAAAUUAUUAUUAUUAUUAUUAUUAUUAUUAUUAUUAUUGAGAAAAUGCAGCCUGCCUCUUGCCAUUUCACAAAACUACCUUCACCAAACUGGGGCAUCAAAGAAGCAGACUAUAUUUCAAGAUUGGUUCUGGAGUUCAGAAAAUGGGGGAGCCUCCAAUUUGCUCACACCACCUUUUAAAGGGAGAUAACAGCCUGUCUUGGGUGGGGUUGACUCUGAAACAUAGAGUGGGGGGUGGAAUGUCAGGUUAAACUAGGGGUAGGCAAACUAAGGCCCGGAGGCCAGAUUCGGCCCAAUUGCCUUCUAAAUCCAGCCCAUGGACGGUCCGGGAAUCAGCGUGUUUUUACAUGAAUAGAAUGUGCCCUUUUAUUUAAAAUGCAUCUCUGGGUUAUUUGUGGGGCAUAGGAAUUCAUAUUCCUCCCCCCAAAAAAUAUAGUCCGCCCCCCCACGGUCUGAGGGACAGUGGACCGGCCCCCUGCUGAAAAAGUUUGCUGACCUCUGGGUUAAACCUUUCACCAACUUCUUUUGAAAAACCAAACAGCCCUGCUUAAAUCAGGAGAUAAAAUACGUUAGUUAACUUGCAUAAUUCGUUAUCACAAGAUGUGAAGAUGGCCACUAACCGUAGGCUGCUUUAGAAAAGGACUGUGUGAAAUGUUUGUAGAGGAGGAGAGGUCUGUCCAAAGGUUACUAACAGCCAUUGGACAGACCUCUCUAGCUAAACUGGUCUAGAGGCAAUCUCUACCUCUCCAUAUCAGGUAUAUGGAGAUGAAGAAAACUAUGUUCCCCCCUUUGGAGGCUAUAUAGGAAGAGGCAUAUUGGAACACACACACACUGUCCCUUGUGCCCUUGCCACGGGCCCCUAGUCGCUCCAAACCAGAGUAGAGAGGCGCGUUUUUCACACCUCCCUGGGCCUGGCCUUUGACGGGGGCCAACCUAACCAACCCCUAAGGUACUUCCCUGUAUAGAGGCAAAAAUCUGGCGGCUGGCUACUGUCUAGGCUACAUGAAACUUGGUUUGAUGCUGCACCGCCAAUUCCUACAAGAGGUAAAUAUUUGCAGGUGCCUCCUCUAAAAAACAGUGUUCUUGAAGCGACCAGCAUGAGUUUGACCAAACUGCAGGAGGCAGUGGAAGACAGGAGUGCCUGGCGUGCUCUGGUCCAGGGGGCCACGAAGAGUCGGACAUGACUAAACAACAACCUCUAAAAUAUCUAUUACAGUGGUACCUCAGGUUACAUACGCUUCGGGUUACAUACGUUUCAGGUUACAGACUCCGCUAACCCAGAAAUAGUGCUUCAGGUUAAGAACUUUGCUUCAGGAUGAGAACAGAAAUUGUGCUCCGGCGGCGCGGCGGCAGCAGGAGGUCCAUUAGUUAAAGUGGUGCUUCAGGUUAAGAACAGUUUCAGGUUAAGAACGGACCUCCGGAACGAAUUAAGUACUUAACCCGAGGUACCACUGUAAUAUUAUUUCCUCAGGUGCUUGCAAGCAGAGCCAUGAACUUAGCCAGGAUUUGGGGGGGGGGGGCAGGCCUUUUUUGGAAGGCAGAACUGACAUGAUCGGUCAGUUGGUUAAGCAUUUCUAUUGUUUUACUUGAUCUGGGGGGCAGGUGCCCCCCCCCGGCUAUGCCCGUGGCUAUUCCUGUCCAUGGCAGUUGUGCUUCAACAGAAGCAUGUCCUUUAAGGUGGCUGAGAGGAUGAAUCCAUAUGAACCGUCAGGAAGCUGGCACCAAUCUUUCUACAGCACUUUUCCAUGGAAGUUCGCUGGGUCUUGUGUAGCCCCGUCCAAAGCAGAAACACAAAUCCAUUUCAAUCAAUGCAGUUUUGCAAUGAAGCCCGGGGGUUCCUGUGCAUUGCUGAAAUCUUUACCAUAACAGAAGAUGUCAAUAAAAAUCGGGACAGGGGUGCACAGAUUGGCAAAUUCUUUGCUGCAAAACACUGAAUUGGUAGCAGAUAAUUUCCUGUAAAUAUAUAUUUUUUUAAAAGGAAAGCCCAGCAUUGAGUGCAAGAAACUAGUCCUCAGAAGAGCAACCCAGCGUGACAGUUUUAUUUUCUUUCCAUCAUUUUUUAAAUAUAUAAAUACCCUCCCAUGAAUCCCCAGCAUAAAUAUUUUUGCAAAGCAGUUUCAUCAUCUUGCUACGCUAGACAAUCUUGUGAAAUAUUUAAAUCGGGAGGGUUAAGAACAUAAAACCCAGGACUCCCAACUGGGUUCCCUCCCCCCAGCCCUACAGUGGUGCCGUAUACUUCCCUUCUCCCCCCUCCCCAGUUUGUAACCCUAGUUUCUAAUUCAUGCCAGCGCCUCAACCGGUCCAGCCGUGUCUUGCGGACGCUAACAGGAAAUUGUGGCUAAUGGAUUUACACUUAGUUGGAAGAAGACGUGAGAGAAAGGAUGAGUUCAGUGGUGCUGAGAUGGAUAUGAAGAAGACUUGCACCCCCUCCCAUAACCCAACUAGGUUGGCAAAGAUGAGAUUUUAAACACACCAACUAAAAAUGCUUGUAUAGACAUUGUUUCAGUUCAACCUACAGACCUCUCCAGCUGCGGUUUCCCAUCAAAGCACUGACUGCAGAAAGAGAAGUCAUAAUCAGUGAGGAUAUGUUUUGAUGCCAGGCAAAUGGAAGGAUAUGGAAGGGGACACUUAUGGGACUGGGAGUAAGAGAUGGCGUUUGCGGAGAGGAUGAGGCAGGCGGGUUAGUGGGCAGGGGGAACGUGGACCACUAAAAGGAUGAGCAUGAUAUUGCUUUGACAAAAUCCCACACUGGCCUAGGCUGCUUCCAGACAAUGCAUUUAUUGAGCAUUCAUUCACACCAAUUUGCUUGCAGGGCAGUUAGGCAGCGCUGCAUUGAAGCAAGGGCUCCCCUCCCCCCCCAUGAUUUCCUUAUCGCAAGAGGACGGAAAGCGCCCUUCGCGACAGUCUGGAAGCGCUCUUCAUGAUCUACAUCCGUGUGAGUUUAAAACGGUUACCAAGUGAAUUGGGGGUUGGGGAUGGGGGGACAGGCUGGGCAACACUGGCUGGUCUUCUGGGGCACCCCCCACAAUGAGCUCUGUUGACUAGCUCUACGAAGGGGGAAAGUGGGCAAUGUCUAAAUAACUUUAUCCCUGCCCUCCCCCCAACAUGAGGUGUUCAAUGCAUGUCACACUUAGCCCCAACAUGAGGUGUUCAAUGCAUGUCACACUUAGCGUAUUAUGAUGUCUGGCACUAGUUUACGUCACGUUCUUUACCCUGUGUUUAACCUGCUAUGAAUAAAGCCCACAGAGUUCUUGAGUCCUCCAGUGCCCAGAGAGGGCCAGAAUCUUCUUGCCACAGCAAGGAGCUAAUGUUGAGCUGAGGAUGGAGAUUCACCCCUCUUAAAAAACGUCAAGAGAGGACGAAAGGCAUCAAGGCAGUUCCGCCCACCUGUGUUUUUCUCAUCAGCACUCUUUGAAUUGUGGCAGAAUCGUAGUACAGUCAUUUGAACCUAAGCCAAGUCCUAAGGAUAUGCCGUUUCCAUUGUGGAAUCUUCUCCAGGCUCUCUCAGACUUUCCACUUUGCUUUUAUUGGCAGGAAAAAUUAACCAGCCUAAAGGAAUUCUUUAAGCAGACUUUAACUGAGUAGAAUCAGUGGGAGAUGAGAGGUUGGGCAAGGUCCAUUUUCACGUCUUGAGUCUCUAAAAUCAACCCAACCUGCUGGAUCUGGAAAGUAUCGGAAAUGAAAAAGGUGGGGAUAGGAGUACACUAUCGCAGGUCACAUCUGUAACUAUUAAACGUUUUUGCUACUUGAGAAAACAUUAGAUUUGGGGUUUUUUGGGUGGGGUAUGGGGAGAUCUGAAGAAGUGCAUUUUCCGCCAAAAGUCUGUUCCCUUUUCUCAGAUCUAAUGGAUUAGAAAGCUGUGUUUUUAUAAUUCCACUGCCAGGCUGGAAGUGGCUUGAUUUUGCUUAUUUUAUUUCAUUAUCGUAAGCGAAUGGGGGGGGGGUCAUACCUUUUUUUUAAAAAAAAGAGAGCUGAGAACUGACAACAGACAAGAGUCUCCAUGUGUGUAGAGAGACAAGGCUCAGCUCUGUGAUUUAUUUAGCUUUGCUAUGAAAUUUUUUUUAACCUAUCCCUGGCCUAAAUAAUUGUGUAAAAAUACCAGGUAAAAUAUUACAGGCUUGUCAAAGGUCAUGACAACCCAAAGCAUCAGGGUGGAACAAGAUGGCACCUUCGCUCCUUUCUCUCUCCUUUCUCUCUCUCUCAUUCUCAUUUCAGGGGGUUGGACUAGAUGACCCUUGGGGUCCCUUCCAACUCUACCAUUCCACAAUUCUCUCUCUCUCUUUCUCUCCAGAAACUGGCUAACCAAAAAAACCUCAGCACAACAGGUUUGGGAGCUCAGCCACUCUCUCCCCUCCCUCUUUCCUCCCAAAUUGUUCAGGAAAAGCAGGAGAAAUUUCAGGCACCUCUAGUCAGCCCCCACCCCACC